rnacentral:scRNA from 1 species
GGUCUCUUCCCUCCUCAGUCAGAGUGGAAGGCCCUGAGGAGAUCAAGCCCAGAGGAACAUUAUCAGGGUUGCUGUGAAAGGGCAGCAGUAUUUUCCUGCCUCGGACCUGU